rnacentral:rRNA from 1 species
GAUGAACGCUGGCGGCGUGCCUAAUACAUGCAAGUCGAGCGAACAGACGAGGAGCUUGCUCCUUCGACGUUAGCGGCGGACGGGUGAGUAACACGUAGGUAACCUACCUAUAAGACUGGGAUAACUUCGGGAAACCGGAGCUAAUACCGGAUAAUAUUUCGAACCGCAUGGUUCGAUAGUGAAAGAUGGCUUUGCUAUCACUUAUAGAUGGACCUGCGCCGUAUUAGCUAGUUGGUAAGGUAACGGCUUACCAAGGCAACGAUACGUAGCCGACCUGAGAGGGUGAUCGGCCACACUGGAACUGAGACACGGUCCAGACUCCUACGGGAGGCAGCAGUAGGGAAUCUUCCGCAAAGGGCGAAAGCCUGACGGAGCAACGCCGCGUGAGUGAUGAAGGUCUUCGGAUCGUAAAACUCUGUUAUUAGGGAAGAACAAACGUGUAAGUAACUGUGCACGUCUUGACGGUACCUAAUCAGAAAGCCACGGCUAACUACGUG